rnacentral:rRNA from 1 species
AUUGAACGCUGACGGCAGGCCUAACACAUGCAAGUCGAGCGGAGCGGCGGACGGGAACGUAAUGCCUAGGAAUCUGCCUGGUAGUGGGGGAUAACGUCAGGAACCGGGCACUAGUACCGCAUACUAUCAUAUGAGCCUAGGUCGGAUUGGCUAGUUGGUGGGGUAAAGGCCUACAAAGGCGACGAUCCGUAACUGGUCGGAGAGGAUGAUAAGGCACACGGGAACUGAGACACGGUCCAGAGUCCUACGGGAGGCAGCAGUGGGGAAUAUGGGACAAUGGGCGAAAGCUUGAUACAGCCAUGCCGCGUGUGUGAAGAAGGUCUUCGGAUUGUAAAGCACUUUAAGCUGGGAAGCGUUACCAACAGAAUAAGCACCGGCUAACUACGUGCCAGCAGCCGCGGUAAUAC